rnacentral:rRNA from 1 species
UACGGAGGGAGCUAGCGUUGUUCGGAAUUACUGGGCGUAAAGCGCGCGUAGGCGGCUUUGUAAGUUAGAGGUGAAAGCCCGGGGCUCAACCCCGGAAUUGCCUUUAAGACUGCAUCGCUUGAAUCCGGGAGAGGUGAGUGGAAUUCCGAGUGUAGAGGUGAAAUUCGUAGAUAUUCGGAAGAACACCAGUGGCGAAGGCGGCUCACUGGACCGGCAUUGACGCUGAGGUGCGAAGCGUGGGGAGCAAACAGG